rnacentral:rRNA from 1 species
CACACCGCCCGUCANACCAUGGGAGUCGUUUGCUCCAGAAGUGCCUACGCUAACUCGCAAGAGAAGCAGGGCCCCAAGGAGUGAACGGUAACUGGGGUG